GAGAGCCCUACAGUGGUGAAAAACAAUUAUUAUAAUGCAUUCUAUAGAGGAUAAAAGAAAAAAACCUUUAUACUUUAUAGCAAAAAAAAGAGGUAUUUCCAUGACACAUUUAAUACAUUUAAAAGUCUUUAUUUUUACAUGCCUAUAAACAAAGGAUAAAAAGAGACUCCCCUACGCAUUUUAGCAAAGACCUGAGAGGACCCUGCAAAAAUUAAAGCCUCUUAAAUGUAUUAUACGUGCCAGGAAAAUGCUGUUUUUUGGGUAUUUGUUAAUUUAUUGUUUUUUUCUUUUUUCUUUUCUUUUUUUUUGGUGAAUUAAUAUCUUUGGUUUUUGCUUCUUGUUCUUAAAAUGGGAAACAACUUCACGUGAAAAAAAACAAAAACAAAAGAUAUUUAGCAGUUAUGUUCAUGAUUCUUUUUGUCCAUAUGAAAUAAAUGGGGAUAGACUAAAAGUAUCAUCCUAAUAGUCUGUGAGAUUUAUGAGAUAUAUUUCUAUACUUCAUCAUCAUGCUUUGUGCGAGGAUCUGGAACAAUUAUUGAAAAUCCUCUCCUCCUCUUCAGCUCUCAAAUCAGAUUCAGUUGUAAUAUGCUGCGUCACACUGCUGUAGGUACAGUGUGAUAUGUGUGAUGAGACGCACAUGAACCACUGUGUGUCUGUACAGGUGAAGCAGGGCAGCACUGACCUGAGCACAGACGUGGUUGUGUGCAGAAGCUUUCAUCCUCCGAGCGAGGCCUGCAGUCCCGGGCGAGACAGAGACGAUGUGCGGUGUGAGACGGGUCAUCAGCUCCAGUCUCCAGCUCACCGCGGAGAUGGCAGUGGAGGAGAAGGUCAGACGUCUUCACCUCUCUUUCAUCUCCCGGCUGAGUUCUUCCACCCCACCACCGCUGCGAUUCCACAGGGCAGUCCAGCCAUCGGAGCGGCCCAGCCGGGCUCCAGACACGCCUCUCCGGCCUCAUGGGCUUCUCUCAGGUCCCCAGGGGCCAACAGCAGGGUCAUGGGCUCUCAGACGUCCCACAGGAACUCCUCGCUGGCCACAGGCAGUUCGGUGAGCAGCCUGCAGACCAUGCUGGAGGAGGGCAUCUCUACGCUACCCCUGAUCUGCAGAACCCACAUUCCUCCUCCAGAACUCACCCAGAGACCUUGUACGCCACAGACUCUGUUCAACCUCCAGGCCACCAGGGGGCGCCAGAGGAAUCGGAGCAGAUACAGUGACUGCACAAAUCCUAACCGGAUCCGACAGGACCCCUCCGAUGAGGACACUGGAUCCGGGGUUAGGGCUGGAGGACCCGAUCAGGCUGGUAAUCCUGAACAGUUAUCGGAUAAUCGGAGUAGCUACUCUCUGACCUCUCUGCACCCACCGGAUUCGCUGGCGCCACUGCUGGCCAAGAAGUGCAAUAGCACUGGGAGUUUAGUACUGGGGAGCCUAGCGGUCCGGAAUAAAGAUGGAAGGUGCCUUUACGGAUUCGAUCCCUGGACUGAAGCAACAACUGAGGAAUCUGAGAGGGAUGCAUCCCCCGUUGGCACCAAGACGUGCAGCCAGACUCUGGGUUCUGGCUGCCGUAAGAACAGAUGAAAUGUGCGGUUCGGUCCAGGCAUGGGACACUGUGUGGUCUCUUCCAUGAACUCAUCUCCAUGUUUAUCUCGAGUGACACUAAUCUGUUUCCUGUUGUGCUACUGACCAGCUGAAGCUCACAGCCACAGCAACACAGUGUCUUUUCUUCUUCAGGGCAUUACACUGGACGCCUCGGAGGAGAUGCAGUAGUCACGGAGUAGCAUAGAAUAUUCUGGAACAUGAGGAACUUAGGAAACUCAUUAAUUCAUAGCAAAAACAGACUUAACAAGUGUGUAGCGAUCUUUAUGUGAAGCUGGGCGUGAAGCAUGUGAUGCGUUCAAUGCAGAAAGGUGCUGUACGAUGCUGCGUUCAUGUCAUGUUGAAAUUAUUGCCAUUUUGAGUGCUGUGGUUGAGAAAACCAUUUUCUCCUAAAAGCAUCUGAUCUUCCUUGGAAUGAGACACUGUGGAGGAUAAGAAAAUUAUUGGCAAAUUGUUUAAAGCACAAACUAAAUUUAAGUUGUACUGAUUUUUUCCCCAAGGAUGUUUCAUUGCUUGUACUGGGAAACGAGUCAAAAUGCUGAACAAGAUGAGAAGUGCAUCUGAAAUCUGAUAGCGUUUAAAUACUACAUUUGAUGAGGAAUAUCUACUUUCUUUAUGUUCUUACAUCAUUGUCUGUAGUAUGAAUGCAGUCUGGAUGUACUUUACCUAAUGUUGUCAUCAGGUGCGUCAUUCAAAUCUACUCAAACAACUAUGGGAUUGUAAGCUGUCCACUAGUAGUUGGUCAGGUACUUUUUGCCUACUGUUUUAUGAAUUUGAACAUACUAAUCAGAUGCUGUUUUAUAGUAGGGAAAUAGGCAUAUUCUGAUACACCGGAUGGAUGUUUUUGCAGGGAACUGGCAAAUAAUGAAAGCUCUGAUAUUUGUGUAAAAACCAAAAUAAUUUGUUGAAUUCAGAGUGCUGCAGCUGUGACGUCAAAACCCAGAUGGUUAAUUCGCCUCUGGUUCUCUAUUGAUAUUUCCUCUAAUGCAGGACAUUUACAUUUACAUUUAAUCAUUUAGCAGACGCUUUUAUCCAAAGUGACUUACAAAUGAGAACAAUAGAAGCAAUCAGACCAGCGAGAGAACAACAACAGUAUACAAGUGCCAUGACAAGUCUCAGUUAGUCUAGUACAGAACACAUAGCUAUGUUUUUUUUUGUUUGUUUUGUUUUUUAAGAAUACAAUAGAAUUGAAAAGAAAGGGUAAGUGCUAGUAUUAGUUGGUCAAGUGCUGGCGAAAAAGAUGUGUCUUUAGAUGUUUUUUGAAGAUAAGUAAAGACUCAGCUGUUCGAACUGAGAUUGGGAGGUCAUUCCACCAGCCGGGCGCAGUCCAGGAAAAGGUCAGUGAGAGUGAUUUUGAACCUCUUUGGGAUGGCACCACAAGGCGCUGUUCACUUGCAGAACGGAAGCUUCUGGAGGGCGCAUAAGAUUGAACUAGUGAGUUUAGGUAUGUUGGCGCCGUGCCAGUGGUCGUCUUGUAGGCAAGCAUCAGUACCUUGAUUUUGAUGCGAGCGGCUACUGGUAGCCAGUGUAACCUGAUGAGGAGAGGAGUAACAUGAGCUGUUUUCGGCUCAUUGAAGACAACUCUCGCUGCUGCAUUCUGGAUCAGUUGUAGAGGCUUGAUAGAACAUGCAGGAAGGCCCGCCAGGAGAGCAUUACAAUAGUCCAGUCUGGAGAGAACAAGAGCUUGGACAAGAAGUUGUGUGGCUUGCUCUGACAGGAAGGGUCUGAUCUUCCUAAUGUUGAAUAAGGGAAAUCUGCAGGACCGGGCCGUUGUAGCAAUAUGGUCUGUGAAGCUUAACUGAUGAUCCAUCACAACUCAAGGUUUCUGGCUGUCCUGGAAGGAGUUUCUCAGUCUGUGUUCAGAUCUCGUGCAGUAAUUCUGACGUGACGUGAGCGUGGCAUUAGAACGGUGCCUUUUGCUUCAUUCUUAUGCAGGAGUGUUCAGAUUUAGCAGCCGCCCACAGAUCAUUAGAGCUGCUGGCUGAGUUUAUAAAGGAAAGAUCUGAAGAAACAUCUCAAGCCCAAACCACGACACACACACUGAGUGUUGGAAAUAGUUGAGGAUCUUCUGUGGGUUUUGUAUUUGGAUGUUCUGUGUUUGUAGUAUAAUGAUGGGAGAAGCAGAAACAUGAACCCUGAUCCUAAACCCGGUGAGCUACCCAGCUAGACAACAUUUUAGGGUUUAUAUCUUCUCAAGAAACUGUGAAAGAAUACAACAAUGAUGGAAUUGGUCUGACCAUUUUCAUCAAGUUUUAUCUUAAUGAAAACCUGAUUACCAGAACAUACUAUAGCGUACAUGUCAUUCACAUAGGUGUAAUUCAUGGGCGGGAUUAUGCUAAUUGUGAAUGAACAUACAUGUGCACCCUAUUUCUGAAUGAUUGGAAUUUAUUAACACACUUUUAUCAAAUCUGUAUUUGUGACUCCAGAGGAGAGUUUUUGGAAAGAUUCCUUUAGAUUGAAGUAUUUUUGUCCAUUAGGAUGUUGAGCUGUUAGCUGACCGUUGCAGUGUUUGUUUCCGUUCAUUUCAAUCUGUAAUGAAGGCUAAAUGAAGAUCCCUAUGUAGACAGCGAGGUCGUUCACUAGGGUUUGGAUUAGAGCUGAUGUUUAUCUCUGGAAAUCAUGCAUGAGAGAUGAUGUAACUAUACUGUGAAGAUGGCAAAAAGUUAUUUAUUUUUGAAGUAUUAUGUGAAAUUUCAUUCUUUUUCCUGCAUAGUUUUACAUCUCUGUCUUCCACUUUGCAUUUUGUACAAACGUCUCCCUUAAAAUGUUUAAUGUUUCUGGCCUUUAAUGAGAUGCUGCAACGGUGGCAGAUCAGUGAAAUGAUUUUACUGAUUUCGUUUCUCAUUUGCACAGCUGACUUGUUUGUAAAGGACUCUCAAUGCACAUUGAUUUGCAUGAUUACAUCUAAAUUUAUGUAGACUUUAGUGAUCUUAUUCCAAAACUCCUGCUGUGAUCGAAUCAUUCCCACUGGAUCUACAGCGCUGGAAAAACUGGGCAAAUCAGUCUCAAAGUCAUUCAUUUCUCAGACCUAAAAAAAGUGAUAUUUUUAAGCCUUUUUAACGAUAUAUGAAAUAUAUAUUCACCUCCAAUAUUUAUGCAUUUGCUCUGAGACAGUUCUUUAGCACCGUCUUUUCAACCAAACAGUCAUUGUUUCCAGAAGAAACUUUAGUAUAAAGAAUCAAGGCAUGUUUUCCACACUGUUUUCCACUAAAUGAACACAAGAUACAUGAACUGGACAAUACAUAGCAAUAUUGACCUCUACUGUAUAUAUAUUUUUACUGAAACAUGUUAAAGCAUGUUAAAUUGCACACAUGUCUUUUUGAACGAUGAAUCAUCUGAUUGUUUUGAAUCGAUUCAUUGAAAUGCAGCGUUCAGAAGCGAUUCGUGUAAAUGGACUGAACUUCUAAACUCGAUCAGUGUUUUUGCUCUUGAAGUUUCAACUCAAGACUCUGUUCAGACAUCUCUGAUGCUUGUAUACUUGCGGGUUGUGAGACGAGAAGGGUGUGAAACCGUCUUUCAGAAAUUUUACGAGCAAAUAUAAAGCAUUUAAACCAUUGCAAUAUUUACACAAUAUUUGCCAAUUAAAUUAUAUAGUAAAUAUCUUGUCUCCUGCCCAACCUUUUUUUCCAGUUUUCCAUUUAGAUGAAACUGAAUUUGCUUUGAUUCUUCUGAAGUUCAGAGGAGUUUCAUGCGUCCCCCACGUGCUGUAGCAUUUCAUCAUUCACAAUCCUAAUAAAGUGACUGAACUGCUUUACUGAUGUCA
ensembl:lncRNA